CAACUACUCCCUCUGUCCCAAAUUUCUUGUCUUAGAUUUGUCUAGAUACGGAUGUAUCUAAUACUAAAAUGUGACUUGAUACAUCCGUACCUAGACAAAUCUAAGACAAGAAUUUUGGGACGAAGGGAGUACUUU
rnacentral:pre_miRNA from 1 species